GGGAAUGUGGCUUAGUGGUAGAGUGCUUGCCUAGCAUGCAUGAAGCCCUGGGUUAGAUUCCUCAGCACCA
rnacentral:tRNA from 1 species